ACUCCUACGGAAGGCAGCAGUGGGGAAUUUUGGACAAUGGGCGAAAGCCUGAUCCAGCCAUUCCGCGUGCAGGAUGAAGGCCCUCGGGUUGUAAACUGCUUUUGUACGGAACGAAAAACUCCGGCUAAUACCUGGAGUCCAUGACGGUACCGUAAGAAUAAGCACCGGCUAACUACGUGCCAGCAGCCGCGGUAAUG
rnacentral:rRNA from 1 species